CAAUCGAUGAUGCAUGAAAAAUAUGAUUUUGACUUCGAUUCAUUUACAGCUGAUGCACGCCUAUUCAAACGACCAGGGAACAAAACUUCAGUUUCGGAAAAGUGAUCCAGCUUCACAAGGAUGUAGAUCAGCAUCAAAACUCGUCUGUGUCAGUACCAGUCUGGCUCCCUCUGCUGAUUUUGCCACGAAGAACCUCGUCAGACGCAUCAGGAAGAGAUCUCGCUCUCCUCACAAACCUCUCCGAACCUUCAGCUGCUCAAACUGAAACCUGAGGAGCAUUUCUGCAACUGCGUUCCCGGGUAAUCUUGAAGACAUCAUGGACUUGAAAAGGACCUGUCAGCCGUGAUGAAAGCUCAAAUUCUGGAGGUAUUGUUGCAAACCUCGUGUGAAACCUUCGCAAGAGCAACAGACGAUCUGCUUCCUCCCUUCGCAUCGAAGGCAUGGCCGUCUAUGAAGAGGGUUGGCAACAUUCACAUAGCCUGGUUGCGCGAUAGAGCCUCUGCCAUAACAUAGUGUGCAUUCCUGGACACCCUUGCCAGAGCACACUCUGCAAGUACCCUGCCCAACAAAUCUAAAGUGAGCACAUCGUGGUGACAGAGAUAAUUUCUGCAGAGUUCAUAUUCGCUCUGAACAUUAGCAACAUCAACCUUCGGCAGAGGAGGCUGCGCUCUGCUCCUGAAGGCAGCAAAGAUGCCGAGAGUUGCGCCAAACAAAGCGAGAUUUCCCAGUGCUGAUGUGACAACGUCCUCACCCUCCAUGCGCAAGAUCCAUUCCUCGCAACAUUGACCUAUCGAGCAGGCUUUUAUUCUUUAACAGU
rnacentral:lncRNA from 1 species